CGUAGGUGACCUGCGGAAGGAUCAUUACCGAGUGCGGGCCCUCUGGGUCCAACCUCCCAUCCGUGUCUAUCUGUACCCUGUUGCUUCGGCGUGGCCACGGCCCGCCGGAGACUAACAUUUGAACGCUGUCUGAAGUUUGCAGUCUGAGUUUUUAGUUAAACAAUCGUUAAAACUUUCAACAACGGAUCUCUUGGUUCCGGCAUCGAUGAAGAACGCAGCGAAAUGCGAUAAUUAAUGUGAAUUGCAGAAUUCAGUGAAUCAUCGAGUCUUUGAACGCACAUUGCGCCCCCUGGUAUUCCGGGGGGCAUGCCUGUCCGAGCGUCAUUGCUGCCCUCAAGCACGGCUUGUGUGUUGGGCUUCCGUCCCUGGCAACGGGGACGGGCCCAAAAGGCAGUGGCGGCACCAUGUCUGGUCCUCGAGCGUAUGGGGCUUUGUCACCCGCUCCCGUAGGUCCAGCUGGCAGCUAGCCUCGCAACCAAUCUUUUUAACCAGGUUGACCUCGGAUCAGGUAGGGAUACCCGCUGAACUUAAGCAUAUCAAU
rnacentral:rRNA from 1 species